UGUGUGUGUGUGUGUGUGUGUAUAUAUCUAUAUAUAUAUAUAUAUAUAGAUACAUACACACACACACACACACACA